GAUGGUGUUAUGUUUUUUGCAUGAUGAGUCUUUUCACAGAUUUUAUUAUUUAUAUAUUUCAGGGUGUUCUACAUGUCUAAUCAGGUUGACAGAAGCGGAUGAAAAUCUUUAAUAAAUUUAACAUGUAGAAGUGUAAAAUGUUCUGUGGAUUCAUAUGAUGAGAAUGCCAGUGUUGAUCUGUAUGGUUUAAUUAAACACAGAUAUUGAUACCUUCAGAUAUACCUGUGAAAUCUUCAGUGUCACCAUUCAGCUAUUGUUCAAGAUCAGUGUCUGCAACUUACACAGUUUAGUAUAGAGGAGCCUACUGAAUCAAUUUUGUUACAAAUUUACUGUUAUUGUAGGACACACAUGUAGAGAGCAGCAAGUCAUGUACAGCCGUGCAUGUAAAUGUGAUUCAAAAACUCUGAGAAUUAUGUAAACAUAACACUGUUAUAAUUUUCAAAAUAUUAUGUCUUUUUGUAUAUCAAUACUGUUUUCUCUCAGUUUAUAGCACAGUAUGUUCACAAAUCAAACUUAAGAUCAUAGUGAUCAGUAUUUUUAAACCUUAUCAUGCUGGACACGACUGAUUUUGCCUUUGCGACCAGUGUAGAUCAUGAUCAGCCUGCACAUCUGUGCAGUCUGAUCAU
rnacentral:lncRNA from 1 species